UACGGAGGGGGCAAGCGUUGUUCGGAUUUACUGGGCGUAAAGGGUGUGUAGGCGGUUAUGUAAGUCUGGUGUGAAAUCUUCAUCGCUCAACGGGAAGAGGUCACUGGAAACUGCGUAACUCGAGUGUGGUAGAGGCAAGCGGAAUUCCUGGUGUAGCGGUGGAAUGUGUAGAUAUCAGGAAGAACAUCGGUGGCGAAGGCGGCUUGCUGGGCCAUUACUGACGCUGAGGAGCGAAAGCGUGGGGAGCGAACAGG
rnacentral:rRNA from 1 species